rnacentral:tRNA from 1 species
GAGAGCGGCGGGUCGGGACCGCGGUCGGGCUCCGGCUCGGGCUCCGGGUCGAGAUCGGGCUCCGGUUCGGGCACCCGGACGCGCUCGC